AGAACGAACGCUGGCGGCAGGCUUAACACAUGCAAGUCGAACGCGUGUAGCAAUACACGAGUGGCGCACGGGUGAGUAACGCGUGGAUAUCUGCCUUUUGGUUCGGAAUAACCCCGGGAAACUGGGGCUAAUACCGGAUGGUUCCUACGGGAUAAAGAUUUAUCGCCAAAAGAUGAGUCCGCGUACGAUUAGCUAGUUGGUGAGGUAAUGGCUCACCAAGGCGACGAUCGUUAGCUGGUCUGAGAGGACGAUCAGCCACACUGGGACUGAGACACGGCCCAGACUCCUACGGGAGGCAGCAGUGGGGAAUAUUGGACAAUGGGGGCAACCCUGAUCCAGCCAUGCCGCGUGAGUGAUGAAGGCCUUGGGUUGUAAAGCUCUUUUGGCGGGGACGAUGAUGACGGUACCCGCAGAAUAAGCCCGGCUAACUUCGUGCCAGCAGGCCGC
rnacentral:rRNA from 1 species